GCCGUAGCUCUAUGGCAGAGCACCCACUUUGCAUGCAGAAAGUCCCAGGUUCAAUUCCUGGCAGCAUCU